GCAUCGUUGCGUCCGCUCGCCACCUCACGCUGGUGUCGUGAUUGAACCGCGUGUGCCGACAACGCGUUUUUCCUGGUUUUAGUCGUUGUGCCGUCUUUAUGCCGUCACGACUUUAUAUAACACGCGUAAUCGUAAGCGUGUGACCGUUUGUUGCCAGUCGCCAAAUCUGGCGUGUUUUACUUGUGUGUUUGUCCGUUAUUAUAGUUUUGUGGUGACUUCGUGGUCAACUGACUCGUUUGUUGGUCGUUUUACAUAAAUUAUAUACCAUGAGGUAUAGUGACAAUUGUCGUAAGUCCCAAGAUAGUUGGGGCCUGACUUGUUCACUACACUCCGGCUUAAUUCGGGCGAGCAAUUACUGUAUCAUUAUACGUCUAUUAUAUCAGAGAGCUGUCGCCUUUCUAGCUUGGAUCCGUCAGGACAGCAGUGUAGCAGCGCAGUUUACUGAGUUAUAAAUUUCAAAGGAUGGACUGAUACCAAAAAUAUAUGUUCCCUCCUAAUGCAAAUAACACUGUUGUCACGCCACAAGUCACCAUCCAGUAUUCACCACGGAACAAUAAGGCAUUAAAAGAUCUACCGGAGAAAAACCUUCUGGUAGCGAACGAGUGCACCACAACCACCACCACUACUGGGAGUAUGAUUAUAAUCAGUGGCGCCGUUUGAAUAAAAAGUUAAUUCAAGUUAAAUGUGUACUAAACUUCAUGCAAUAUUGUUGCUAUUUUUACAUAAUAUAGGCUUUUUCAAUGUAAAUGUCUUAACUUUUUUAAAUUCUGUACACAUAUUUUUAAUCUACAGUCGGAUUACGUAAUAUGUAUAGUUUAAUAUUGUAUUAUUCUUUUAUAUUUUUUAUAAUUUGGUGAUACAUACAAUUAUAAAUUAUAAUAGAACCUAUACACAACCAUGUUGUCAUAAGUAUACCUACACAUAAUAUAAUUUUACUGAUUUAAUAAGAUCCAUUUAACAAUUGUGCAACAUUUUAAGUGGAACAUGAGAUAGGUGAUUGUAAAACAUUAAUAACAAUUAAAUGAAUAAUUGCUAAUUUGAAUAAUUAGCGUUUAAUUUGUUUUAACAAAGUAUUCAAUAUAUUACAUAAAAGAACUUUCUGUUUUAAAAUGAUAACUUUUCAAGGUUAUAGCUCAUUAUAAUAUAUUUACUCGUCUAAUCUUAAGUGAAAUUUAAACCAAAAUUCAAGAAUAAAUCACCGAAUACCUCUCAAUACAUACUCCACGUGAAGAAUGUUCAAUAUUGAAUUGAAGACAAAAAAAUCGUGAGCGUGAAAUAACAUAUUAAUCACCUUGAAAGUAUUACUCUGCAAAUACUUGUAUAAUACAAAAUAACUUAAUAUAAUUUUUAAUAUUAUCAAUCAAAACUAUUUUUUAUGUACUUCAUAGUUUGUAAAUCAGAAAAAUAAUUAUGUAUUGCCAUAUAGUCAUGGCUAUAAUAGAAUAUAAUUUAUACUAUACUAAUUUCAAACAUUACUAGAAAAUGUAAUAACUUUAU